rnacentral:rRNA from 1 species
UACAGAGGGUGCUAGCGUUGUUCGGAAUUACUGGGCGUAAAGCGUGCGCAGGCGGCUUUGCAAGACAGAUGUGAAAUCCCCGGGCUUAACCUGGGAACUGCAUUUGUGACUGCAUGGCUGGAGUGCGGCAGAGGGGGAUGGAAUUCCGCGUGUAGCAGUGAAAUGCGUAGAUAUGCGGAGGAACACCGAUGGCGAAGGCAAUCCCCUGGGCCUGCACUGACGCUCAUGCACGAAAGCGUGGGGAGCAAACAGG